ensembl:lncRNA
CAGACCCAGUGGUGUAACAGUCUCUAUCCACAGACCCAGUGGUGUAACAGUCUCUAUCCACAGACCCAGUGGUGUAACAGUCUCUAUCCACAGACCCAGUGGUGUAACAGUCUCUAUCUACAGACCCAGUGGUGUAACAGUCUCUAUCCACAUACCCAGUGGUGUAACAGUCUCUAUCCACAGACCCAGUGGUGUAACAGUCUCUAUCUACAGACCCAGUAGUGUAACAGUCUCUAUCAUAUCUACAGACCCAGUGGUGUAAGUCUCUAUCUACAGACCCAGUGGUGUAACAGUCUCUAUCUACAGACCCAGUGGUGUAACAGUCUCUAUCAUAUCUACAGACCCAGUGGUGUAAGUCUCUAUCUACAGACCCAGUGGUGUAACAGUCUCUAUCUACAGACCCAGUGGUGUAACAGUCUCUAUCUACAGACCCAGUGGUGUAACAGUCUCUAUCCACAUACCCAGUGGUGUAACAGUCUCUAUCCACAGACCCAGUGGUGCAACAGUCUCUAUCCACAGACCCAGUGGUGUAACAGUCUCUAUCAACAGACCCAGUGGAGUAACAGUCUCUAUCUACAGACCCAGUGGUGUAACAGUCUCUAUCCACAUACCCAGUGGUGUAACAGUCUCUAUCCACAGACCCAGUGGUGUAACAGUCUCUAUCCACAGACCCAGUGGUGUAACAGUCUCUAUCUACAGACCCAGUGGUGUAACAGUCUCUAUCCACAGACCCAGUGGUGUAACAGUCUCUAUCAACAGACCCAGUGGUGUAACAGUCUCUAUCCACAGACCCAGUGGUGUAACAGUCUCUAUCUACAGACCCAGUGGUGUAACAGUCUCUAUCCACAGACCCAGUGGUGUGACAGUCUCUAUCCACAGACCCAGUGGUGUAACAGUCUCUAUCCACAGACCCAGUGGUGUAACAGUCUCUAUCAACAGACCCAGUGGAGUAACAGUCUCUAUCUACAGACCCAGUGGUGUAACAGUCUCUAUCCACAUACCCAGUGGUGUAACAGUCUCUAUCCACAGACCCAGUGGUGUAACAGUCUCUAUCCACAGACCCAGUGGUGUAACAGUCUCUAUCUACAGACCCAGUGGUGUAACAGUCUCUAUCCACAGACCCAGUGGUGUAACAGUCUCUAUCAACAGACCCAGUGGUGUAACAGUCUCUAUCCACAGACCCAGUGGUGUAACAGUCUCUAUCUACAGACCCAGUGGUGUAACAGUCUCUAUCCACAGACCCAGUGGUGUAACAGUCUCUAUCCACAGACCCAGUGGUGUAACAGUCUCUAUCUACAGACCCAGUGGUGUAACAGUCUCUAUCCACAGACCCAGUGGUGUAACAGUCUCUAUCCACAGACCCAGUGGUGUAACAGUCUCUAUCCACAGACCCAGUGGUGUAACAGUCUCUAUCUACAGACCCAGUGGUGUAUCAGUCUCUAUCUACAGACCCAGUGGUGUAACAGUCUCUAUCCACAGACCCAGUGGUGUAACAGUCUCUAUCCACAGACCCAGUGGUGUAACAGUCUCUAUCCACAGACCCAGUGGUGUAACAGUCUCUAUCCACAGACCCAGUGGUGUAACAGUCUCUAUCUACAGACCCAGUGGUGUAACAGUCUCUAUCUACAGACCCAGUGGUAUAACAGUCUCUAUCUACAGACCCAGUGGUGUAACAGUCUCUAUCCACAGACCCAGUGGUAUAACAGUCUCUAUCCACAGACCCAGUGGUGUAACAGUAAAACUGUGAUCGAUACAUGUGGAUGUUGUUCCUGUAGUGUUUGUAACCACCCUGGUAGGUUGAUUAAUAUCCUGAACCAGAUUACACUGUUACAGAUGU